rnacentral:tRNA from 1 species
AGGCGCGUAGCUCAGCUGGUUAGAGCGCUACCUUGACAUGGUAGAGGUCGGCGGUUCGAUCCCGUCCGCGCCUACCA